UACGGAGGGUGCAAGCGUUAAUCGGAAUUACUGGGCGUAAAGCGUGCGUAGGUUGUCUAUUAAGUUAUCUGCGAAAUCCCCGGGCUCAACCUGGGCAGGUCAGAUAAUACUGGUAGACUCGAGUAUUGGAGAGGGUAGUGGAAUUUCCGGUGUAGCGGUGAAAUGCGUAGAGAUCGGAAGGAACACCAGUGGCGAAGGCGGCUACCUGGACUGAUACUGACACUGAGGUGCGAAAGCGUGGGGAGCAAACAGG
rnacentral:misc_RNA from 1 species